UACGGGGGGAGCAAGCGUUGUUCGGAUUUACUGGGCGUAAAGGGCGCGUAGGCGGUCAGCACAAGUCAGUUGUGAAAUCUCCGGGCUUAACUCGGAAAGGUCAACUGAUACUGUGCGACUAGAGUGCGGAAGGGGCAACUGGAAUUCUCGGUGUAGCGGUGAAAUGCGUAGAUAUCGAGAGGAACACCUGCGGCGAAGGCGGGUUGCUGGGCCGACACUGACGCUGAUGCGCGAAAGCCAGGGGAGCGAACGG
rnacentral:rRNA from 1 species